rnacentral:rRNA from 1 species
UACGAAGGGGGCUAGCGUUGCUCGGAAUCACCGGGCGUAAAGGGUGCGUAGGCGGGUCUUUAAGUCAGGGGGGAAAUCCUGGAGCUCAACUCCAGAACUGCCUUUGAUACUGAGGAUCUUGAGUUCGGGAGAGGUGAGUGGAACUGCGAGUGUAGAGGUGAAAUUCGUAGAUAUUCGCAAGAACACCAGUGGCGAAGGCGGCUCACUGGCCCGAUACUGACGCUGAGGCACGAAAGCGUGGGGAGCAAACAGG